rnacentral:rRNA from 1 species
AAAGCGUGGGGAGCGAACAGGAUUAGAUACCCUGGUAGUCCACGCCGUAAACGAUCAUCACUCGCUGUUGGCGAUAUACUGUCAGCGGCCAAGCGAAAGUAUUAAGUGAUGCACCUGGGGAGUACGCCGGCAACGGUGAAACUCAAAGGAAUUGACGGGGGCCCGCACAAGCGGUGGAGCAUGUGGUUUAAUUCGAUGAUACGCGAGGAACCUUACCAGGGCUUAAAUGUAGUUUGACCGGCUUAGAAAUAGGCUUUCUCUUCGGAGCAAAUUACAAGGUGCUGCAUGGUUGUCGUCAGCUCGUGCCGUGAGGUGUUAGGUUAAGUCCUGCAACGAGCGCAACCCCUAUUCUUAGUUGCCAGCGGUUCGGCCGGGGACUCUAAGAAGACUGCCAGCGCAAGCUGUGAGGAAGGUGGGGAUGACGUCAAAUCAUCACGGCCCUUACGUCCUGGGCUACACACGUGCUACAAUGGUAGAGACAGAGGGCAGCCACCUGGUGACAGGGAGCGAAUCCUUAAACUCUAUCUCAGUUCGGAUCGAAGUCUGCAACUCGACUUCGUGAAGCUGGAAUCGCUAGUAAUCGCGCAUCAGCCAUGGCGCGGUGAAUACGUUCCCGGGCCUUGUACACACCGCCCGUCAAGCCAUGGAAGCUGGG